CCGCUGGCACCUUAUGAGAAAUC
rnacentral:siRNA from 1 species